CCUACGGGAUGCAGCAGUGAGGAAUAUUGGUCAAUGGGCUCGAGCCUGACCCAGCCAAGUAGCGUGAAGGAUGACUGCCCUACGGGUUGUAAACUUCUUAUAUAAAGGAAUAAAGUGAGGCACGUGUGCCUUUUUGUAGGUACUUUAGGAAUAAGAAACGGCUAAAGUCGUGCCAGCAGCCGAGGUAAGACGGAGGAUCCGAGUGUUAUACGGCUUUAGUGGGUUUAAAGGGAGCGUAGAUGUGUUGUUAAGGCCGUUGUGAAAGUUUGCGGCUCAACCGUAAAAUUGCAAUUGAUACUGGCAGUCUUGAGUACAGUUGAGGUAGGCGGAAUUCGUGGUGUAGCGGUGAAAUGCUUAGAUAUCACGAAGAACUCCGAUUGCGAAGGCAGCUUACUAAACUGCCACUGACAUUGAUGCUCGAAAGUGUGGGUAUCAAACAGGAGUAGAUACCCGAGUAGUC
rnacentral:rRNA from 1 species